UACGGGGGGGGCAAGCGUUGUUCGGAAUUACUGGGCGUAAAGGGCUCGUAGGCGGCCAACUCAGUCGGACGUGAAAUCCCUCGGCUUAACCGGGGAAUGGCGUCCGAUACUGGAUGGCUUGAGUUUGGGAGAGUGAUGCGGAAUUCCAGGUGUAGCGGUGAAAUGCGCAGAUAUCGGGAGGAACACCGGUGGCGAAGGCGGUUCUCUGGGCAUGUCCUGACGCUGAGGAGCGAAAGUGUGGGGAGCGAACAGG
rnacentral:rRNA from 1 species